UACAAGUUUCAGAGAAACUCGUAGUAAGCAGACCCCCAUGCAACGAAAGCAUUUUUACCAAACUUCAGUUGAGGUAUGAAUUUUUACUCACCUCCCAUUGCUAAGCUUUUCAUUGACUUGGUGAUGUACUCGCCUCGUAGUAAAAAGGUAUUGCAGAUUACCAUUGAGGUAAAAAUUGAAAUUUGUAGAAUAUGUCAUUCGCUCUUCCCGUAGGAAGUGAGGUCGGUUAUUUUCCUUACUCUGUUUCACUUUCACAAUAACUUUUACAGUGAGCAAAGGCCUGAGGAAAAAAAUUGCUCCUUUUAGUUGCUAGAAUAGUAAACAUAAAACCUUAACGGAUACUGCAUUUAACUCAAAUAAAUUGCACCCAUAUAGAUGCAAUUGCUCUUGAAAAUAUUAUCAACUUUUUGACGAAAUAUGGAAUAUUGCAAAAAUAGUAAUAUAGUUAUCUAAAUACUUCGCGUCCGUCGAGUUAAGAACGCACUUGGUAAGUCGCUAAGUACUUGAAAAACUAGAAGCGCGCUCCGCUACCCCCUUGUGCGACUAUUGCGCUUCUCUCGUGCUUAACAAUCUCCCGCGUGAAUCUAUAUCGCGACGGACGCACGCUGACCCUGAAACAAUUUUAAAUCAUAAGUUUAAGGUACUUUUCGACCCUCUUACAGGAUUAGCUUUAUGCAUGCAUAACUUUGCACCCCAAAUUUAAUGUAAAAUUUCUCAUGAUUUGUUCUUCCCUUGGACAGUGAUGCGAGGCCUUACUAGAGCGGUCAAAACGUUAUCAAAAGCUCUUGCUCACACUUGCUGAGAAGUUUAAACUGAACAUGGACGCUACAGUAUAAGGAGUAACAAACUCAGGAAAAUUCAUGACGUUCACACAUUAACGCUUGACCGGCCGUAGGCGCACUCAUGACACUUAUAGAUUUUACUCUGUCUAAUGCCAGACGAUUUUACUCGUCAAUGAGGGACCCCUUGGCCGUCAAAGGGAUAAACAGGGAACACAAUGGUCAAUGCAUGUUAUUUCGUGUAUUGCUUUUCUCUUCAGUGUCACAAAUACAAGUGUCGAAUGGUGGAUUAGUAUACGUUACCUAGCUCAUAAGACAAUGCAGUCUAUAAACUUCACAAGAAGAGACAUACUUAUUAAACAGUAGACUAAAUUUUCUCUGGGUUUACGGGCGCAAUAAACCGCCCACGCAAGACAUUAACAGAAAACGAGAAAAAGUUUCUCACUUUCGACCUUGUUAGCUAUAUGAACUACCUAGCUUCUCAAGAUAAACUUUAAUCAAUUAACGAAUUCCCAUACUUUGCGGAUCACUCAAGGUUCUGUAAGUGGAAUAUAACUAUUACGUUAUACAGGGGUCACCUUUGUACUAGACGAAGUAGAGUAUACCUUGGUUUAUUAAUACCGAGCAAAUAGCAUAUGAAAACAGGUUAUCUGGCCCUCAUGAUCACUCGCAAUAACAAAAUAUAGGAGCACUAUAAAUGGCGCAGACUACAAUAAUUCUAGGCAGCAAGAUCUGAGACGCCAUAAUCUCGUCCCUCACCACAACUGACAAAACUAUGAUGUU